rnacentral:lncRNA from 1 species
GAACUCCAUCUCACAAACUCUUCUCGGUCUCAAUCUCUCAAGUUCUUCUUGUCCUCCAUUUCCAUGUUAUUCUAGCAUUGUCUAUGAUUAAUGUUACUUUGUCAUCAUACGUUUGAACGUCAAUGUUAGUUUGACCAACAUCUUUCACGACAACAAAGUAACAUUAUUACAACAAUGCGAAAACCAACAUAUUUCACCUCUUUAACAAACAAAGCCCAUAUUAUGUUGUCUGAACCACCCUCGUUGUCUUUCUCUGACAUACAUCUUUCCAUAUCUUCUAGCUCUAUGGUUUACACAAGCCCUAAAAAUGAAAAUCGGUAGAAAGACAAAGUAUUGAUAUGUCUUGUUGCCUUUUGUUGUAGGAAAAUAUUUGAAUAUGUAGCACUUGAGUUGGAUUUUUUU